AAUUGACGGGACCCGCACAAGCAGCGGAGCGUGUGGUUUAAUUCGUUGCUACACGAAGAACCUUACCUGGGUUUGACAUAUAGGUUGUAGGGAACUGAAAGGGACCGACCCUUCGGGGAGCCUAUACAGGUGUUGCAUGGCUGUCGUCAGCUCGUGUCGUGAGAUGUUCGGUUAAGUCCGCUAACGAGCGCAACCCUCGUCGUAUGUUAUAUGUGUCAUACGAGACUGCCGGUAAAAGCCGGAGGAAGGUGAGGAUGAUGUCAAGUCAGCAUGACCUUUAUAUCCAGGGCUACACACACGCUACAAUGGUCUGUACAAUGGGUAGCCAAGCCGCGAGGCGGAGCCAAUCCUGAAAGCAGGCCUCAGUUCAGAUUGCAGUCUGCAACUCGACUGCAUGAAGCCGGAGUUGCUAGUAACCGCAGGUCAGCAAUACUGCGGUGAAUACGUUCCCGGGUCUU
rnacentral:rRNA from 1 species